rnacentral:rRNA from 1 species
AAAGUCCUCUCGAGUGUAUUUAAUCUGCCCACUGAGUAAAUUUUAAGGGCCGCGGUAUUUUGACUGUGCAAAGGUAGCAUAAUCAUUAGUCUUUUAAUUAAAGGCUAGAAUGAAUGGUUGGACGAGGUAAAAUCUGUAUUCUUUAAUAUUUUAUUGAAUUUUUAUUUUAAGUAAAAAUACUUAAAUUUUUUUAAGGGACGAGAAGACCCUAUAGAGUUUAAUAAUUUUAUUAUUUAUUUUGGUUAAUUUUUAAAAAAUUUUUAAUUGAUGUUUAAGAUUAUUUUAUUGGGGUGAUUAAGAGAUAAAUUUAACUCUUUUUUAGUUUUUAUAUUUUUAUUAGUUUAUUUGAUCCAAUAUUUAGUGAUUAAAAGAUUUAAUUACCUUAGGGAUAACAGCAUAAUUUUUUUAAAGAGUUCUUAUCGAAAGAAAAGAUUGUGACCUCGAUGUUGGAUUAAGAUAAAAUUUAGGUGUAGGUGCUUGAUGUUUACGUGUCGUGUUACGGCCGUUU